UGGCAUUUCAAAGGAUUUUUGUGCGUAUGAAAAUUAAUGAAAUAAUUUUCAUACGCACAAAAAUCCUUUGAAAUGCCAGCGUAUGA